rnacentral:rRNA from 1 species
CGGUAAUUCCAGCUCCAAUAGCGUAUACUAAAGUUGUUGCAGUUAAAAAGCUCGUAGUUGGAUUUCUGCGGGGACGGAGCGGCCGGUCGCAACUUGCGACUCGAGCUAGCGCUUUCCCCGCAUCCUGCCGCGAACCGUGCUACCAUUAGUUUGGUGGCGCUGGGGAUCGGCUCGAUUACUUUGAGAAAAAUAGAGUGUUCAAAGCAGGCCACACGCCUUGAAUAAGUUAGCAUGGAAUAAUGACUAAGGACUUUGGUUCUUUUCGUUGGUGUUCGGGACUGAAGUAAUGAUUGAUAGGGACAGUUGGGGCGGUCCGUAUUCCAAAGCGAGAGGUGAAAUUCUUAGACCUUCGGAAGACGAACAGCUGCGAAAGCGUUCCGCAAGGAUGUUCCCUUUGAUCAAGAACGAAAGUUGGGGGAUCGAAGACGAUCAGAUACCGUCGUAGUCUCAACUAUAAACUAUACCAGCUAGGGAUCGGCCAACGUUUAAUUAUUCGACUUGGUCGGCACCUUAUGAGAAAUCAAAGCAUCUGGGUUCCGGGGGGAGUAUGGUCGCAAGGCUGAAACUUAAAGGAAUUGACGGAAGGGCACCACCAGCCGUGGAGCCUGUGGCUUAAUUUGACUCAACACGGGAAAACUUACCAGGUCCGGACAUAGUAAGGAUUGACAGAUUGAUAGCUCUUUCUUGAUUCUGUGGGUGGUGGUGCAUGGCCGUUUUUAGUCGGUGGAUGUGAUCUGUCUGCUUAAUUGCGUUAACGGACGAGACCCCAGCCUGCUAAAUAGCGCGGCCGAGCUUUGCUCGGUGCGAGCUUCUUAGAGGGACCAUGAUGCGCGAUAGCACAAGGAAGUUUGGGGCAACAACAGGUCUGUGAUGCCCUUAGAUGUUCUGGGCCGCACACGGGCUACACUGGCGCCUGCAACGAGCAUAUCAGCUGGCCCGAGAGGGUCUUGGCUAAUCUUUGGAACCGGCGCCGUGCUUGGGAUUGACCAUUGCAAUUGUUGGUCAUGCAACGAGGAAUGCCUUGUAAACGCGAGUCAUCAGCUCGCAUUGAAUACGUCCCUGCCCUUUGUACACACCGCCCGUCGCUCCUACCGAUGAAUGUUCCGAUGAAAUUUUCGGAGAGCACCAGAGAACGGGGCUCCGCCUUGCAGAUCUGGAGGCUCAAAGUCACUUAAAUCUGAACAUUUCGAGGAAGGAGAAGUCGUAACAAGGUAGCCG